AGGAUCAAUAAUUUUCCUCCCAUCCAGAGAACAUUUUUAAGAAGUUCCUGGAAGGAAUUGUUGGAUUCACUGGAAAUUCUGAAACGGAGGUUCUUCAGGCUGCUAUAACAAAAUAUAGCAGUCUCUUCAGGUGGCUAUAACAAAAUAACAUAAACUGAGUGGCUUACAAACAACAGAAAUUGAUGUCUCACAGUUCUGGAGGCUGUGAAGUCCAAGAUUGAGGUGCUGGCAGAUUUGGUGUCUGGUAAGAACUGGGUUUCUGGAAGAAAGCUGUCUUCUCACUGUAACCUUACUUGUCCAGCCAGAGGGGAGAGUGAUCUCUCUGGGGGUCUCUUUUAUAAGGGACUAAUCCCCAUUAAUGAGAACUCUGCCCCUAUAAUCUGAACACUUCCCAAAUGCCCUACCUCCUAACACCAUCGCCUUGGGGGUUAGGAUUUCAACAUGUGAAUUUGAGGGGACAUAAACAGUCAGUCCAUUGCAGUGUCUUAGGCUAAUUCUAGAAAACACUGUGUCAAGUGAUACUAUCAAUUGUUUCCACAAGGAGUAAACUCAUGGAGACCCACGGCCACAAGUAGACAACUGAAAGAUGACAUUGGGACUGCAUCAGACUUCCCAGGAAGCUCUUUAGUCCAGAUGCAUGUGAACUCCCGAAAGCAGACUGUUGAUUCAAGAUCUGGCAAAUAAAGACUUGAUGAAGUAUGUCUGAAUUAACCAAUGAAAGAAAUAAAAUGUGGUUAUUUGUUUUAAAUAUUGUUGGCAUUGUUUUGAUAUUCUGUUUUCUGAUGGGCAUAUAAAGAGCCA
rnacentral:lncRNA from 10 species